rnacentral:rRNA from 1 species
GUCGAGAAUCUUCCGCAAUGCGCGAAAGCGUGACGGAGCGACACCGCGUGAUGGAUGAAGUCCUUCGGGGCGUAAACAUCUUUUAUAAAGGAGGAAAUUUUUGACGUUACUUUAUGAAUAAGGGGCUCCCAAUCUCGUGCCAGCAGGAGCGGUAAUACGAGAGCCUCAAGCGUUAUCCGGAAUCAUUGGGCGUAAAGGGUGCGUAGGUGGUUUGAUUAGUCUCCCGUUAAAACUUCGAGCUUAACUCGAAAAGAGCGGGGGAAACGGUCAAACUAGAGUAUGUGAGAGGAGUGUGGAACUCAUGGUGUAGGGGUGAAAUCCGUUGAUAUCAUGGGGAACACCAAAAGCGAAGACAGCACACUGGCACAUCACUGACACUGAGGCACGAAACCUAAGGUAGCGAAUGGGAUUAGAUACCCCAGUAGUCC